rnacentral:rRNA from 1 species
UAAGGAAUAUUGGUCAAUGGGCGAAAGCCUGAACCAGCCAUGCCGCGUGCAGGAAGACGGCCCUAUGGGUUGUAAACUGCUUUUGCAGGGGAAUAAACCUCAUUACGUGUAAUGAGCUGAAUGUACUCUGAGAAUAAGGAUCGGCUAACUCCGUGCCAGCAGCCGCGGUAAUACGGAGGAUCCAAGCGUUAUCCGGAUUUAUUGGGUUUAAAGGGUGCGUAGGUGGCUUUUUAAGUCAGGGGUGAAAGACGGUAGCUUAACUAUCGCAGUGCCUUUGAUACUGAAGAGCUUGAAUGAACUAGAGGUAGGCGGAAUGUGACAAGUAGCGGUGAAAUGCAUAGAUAUGUCACAGAACACCAAUUGCGAAGGCAGCUUACUAUGGUUUUAUUGACACUGAGGCACGAAAGCGUGGGGAUCAAACA